rnacentral:RNase_P_RNA from 1 species
CGAGGACGCCAGACGGUCGCAGGCGCAUGCGUCUGAGGAAAGUCCGAGCACCGCAGGGCAGGGUGCCGGUUAACUGCCGGUGAAGGCGACUUCAAGGAAAGUGCAACAGAAAUAAACCGCCCGCCGUUUCGGCGGGUAAGGAUGGAAAGGCGAGGUAAGAGCUCACCAGCGGCAUGGCGACUUGUCCGCUCUGUAAACCCCACCCGGUGCAAGAUUGAAAGUAAAGCUAUGUGGCGGCCCGUCACGCUUUCAGGUAAUCGCUUGAGCCUUAUGGCAACUUAAGGCCUAGAAAGAUGAUCGUCUAAUACAGAACUCGGCUUAUAGACGUCGCUCGCAUU